GACGAACGCUGGCGGCGUGCUUAACACAUGCAAGUCGAACGGAAAGGCCCUGCUUUUGUGGGGUGCUCGAGUGGCGAACGGGUGAGUAACACGUGAGUAACCUGCCCUUGACUUUGGGAUAACUUCAGGAAACUGGGGCUAAUACCGGAUAGGAGCUCCUGCUGCAUGGUGGGGGUUGGAAGGUUUCGGCGGUUGGGGAUGGACUCGCGGCUUAUCAGCUUGUUGGUGGGGUAGUGGCUUACCAAGGCUUUGACGGGUAGCCGGCCUGAGAGGGUGACCGGCCACAUUGGGACUGAGAUACGGCCCAGACUCCUACGGGAGGUAGCAGUGGGGAAUAUUGCACAAUGGGCGGAAGCCUGAUGCAGCAACGCCGCGUGCGGGAUGACGGCCUUCGGGUUGUAAACCGCUUUCGCCUGUGACGAAGCGUGAGUGACGGUAAUGGGUAAAGAAGCACCGGCUAACUACGUG
rnacentral:rRNA from 1 species